CAUAUGUGUUUACUUGUAUAUGCAUUGCAUCUGUUGACAUGAUAUACAAAACAUAAACAAACGUGUAUAUGAAAGCACAGACACAGAGAAAAAAAUUGCAUUCAUUUAUACGUUUGAAUGAUAU
rnacentral:miRNA from 1 species